rnacentral:tRNA from 1 species
GAUCUCGUAGCUCAGUUGGUUGAGUGCAAGGCUCUCAAUCUUGGGCUCGCGUGGGUUCAAGCCCCACAGUGGCCC